UCAUUUUUAAUUUUGGGCUACAAGAUCGGCCCAACAUUAACCAAAUCGGCCCACCUCACUUCUCUCUUUCCCUUAACCCCAAUGCAACAACACCAGUAGCCUAAACACCCUACAACAUCUGCCCCACCAGCCUAAUAUGCAACUAACCCGACCCACUCCUUCUUCUCCCUUUUCCUUUUACGUUCCAGCAAAACAGAGAGGCAGCAACAAUACACAUACAACUUCAGUAACGUCGUGAACAACAACAAUCAACAAAAAAUCAACCUUCAUCCAACCUUAACCCAAUUUUCUUUUCCCCCUUUCGAUUUGUACACUUGUCACAUGACCUCUACACGGGUUUGCUACGAAAAAAGUCCAGAACCUUUUAGAGAGGUGUUAGGUGGCAUCCAAGUUGAUGCUCAAAAGAAUAUUUCGCAAAAAUCCACCUGGAUAGCGGAAAUCAUACCAUGAAGGUACAUAUUUGCUUAAUUUUGAUUGGUCGGAAAAAAAUCCAUUUUUUCAGUAUUCUCAAUUUUAAAUUUCAUCAAGAACAAUCAAAAUUGGUACAAAUUAUUAGCUGAAAACCUUAUCUUGAACUACAAUUCAAAAAUAUCUCCAUUGAAAAUUCUGAAUUUACCCCUGAUUCCCCCUUUCCUCACAUCGUUUGAAGUCCAAAAACUCAAUCCUCCUUCCCUCCUACAAAAAAGCUCAUUGUGGAUCUGAAUUGGCAAGUCUCAAAAAGUUGGUAAAAAGCUUUUUGGGCAAAGAGUUAAAUUUUUUAGUAAGUUUUUUUAAGAAAAGCAGUAGGCUAAUAGGGGUUCUCGAAAAGAUUGUUUUUCGGUGGUGGUCAAGACUCCAAAGAAGGCUCGAAGUCUUAUUUUGCUGCUCUGAAAAAGAGUCUAAUUGGACUUUCCUCCCCUCCAUGCAUUUCUUGUCGGGUCAAGGAGGCCCAUCUCGCCCUUAUCGAAUCAAUGGAGAUUGAUAAAUGACGAAAAAAAUGGUCGUUUCAGGUUAAUGAAAGAUGGGUCAAAACCCAUUGACAAAGUUGUCAGGAUUUGGAGACUUUUCGUCUCGAUUUUAUUUCUCUUUUAUUUUGUAUUUAUUUGUUCAUUCAUUCAUUUUGGGCCUCAAAGCGAAAGUUGUAAUUUAAUACAGGUGAAACAGAUUUUUGAACCUUCAAGGUACGAAAAUUAGUUUAGGACAGGUGAAGAUGGGCCAAAAUUCCAAAUGAGUAGUUUAGUAUAGGUGGGUCAAAAGGCCAAUUUAAUUUAGGACAUGUUUCAUGGGUUUGGGCCCAAGAGCGUAAAUCUUUAAUUUCCUCC